rnacentral:rRNA from 24 species
CGCCUUUAGAAAAAAGAUUAAAGGUUCUGCCUGCCCGGUGACUUCGAGUUAAACGGCUGCAGUAUUACUGACUGUGCAAAGGUAGCAUAAUCAUUCGCCUGUUAAUUGCAGGCUUGUAUCAACGGCUAGACGAUAAAAUGACUGUCUCUUUCUAUUGUACUAUAAAUUAGUUUUUAGGUGAAGAAACCUAAAUGAGAAAGUGGGACGAGAAGACCCUAUAGAGCUUUACUUUAAACAAAAGUUUUGUUUUGUAAAAAGUUUGGUUGGGGCAACCGCCUUUAAGUAUAAAACAGAGGCUAUAAAAUAAAAAUUUAAUUAUAAAAACGACCCAAAAUGUUUUGAUUAAAUAAAAAAGUUACCUUAGGGAUAACAGCGUAAUUUCUUUUGAGAGUACACAUUGACAAAGAAGUUUGCGACCUCGAUGUUGGAUCAGAAAAACCUGGAUGUGCAGCAGCCUCCUAGGGUUGGUUUGUUCAACCAUUAAAUUUCU